rnacentral:lncRNA from 1 species
GCCGCCCUCGCAGCCGCCCGGGCUCGCAGCAAUCCGGGGCUGGAGCCGGGGCGUGCCGCGCGGGCUCCAGUUUCGCCGGCCCCGGUGCUAUUUAAAGGUGUCAGGUGGCUCGGCGGAGACUCCUGGCCCCGGCUCCUGGCGGCCCCAGUUGGAAGAGCCGAGGCAAGGGCGCCGAUCCCGGACUGCGAGGGGAGGCGGAGAGACGGGGCAGUUGACUAUUGCUAACAAGUUAGCCUUGAUCGAGGAGUAAUCAAUUAUCUGCAGCGGCACUUCUGGCUUUCUCUCUGCCUUCUCCAGUGUUUCGCCGCUCUCUUCUUUCUGUUCUCUCCCGUCCUCUCCCUCUCCACCCUCCCUCCCCUCCUGUCCUCUUCUCUGCUUUGCUCUCCUCUCCGCUCCACUCCCCCCGUCUCUCCCUUUCUCUACCUCUCCCUCGCCCUCUUUCCCUCUCUGCCUGUCCAAUGCAAGCGGCUCUAAGUUGGGAAGCUCAUUAAUUAGCGGGCCGGGGGUAGGAGGAGCCGGCUGGAAUUAGCCUUCCUAACGCGCCUGUCAGUCCGGGCGGUGCCGCGCCGGGCGAGCUGUUUGUAAAUGACAUUAACCGCGCCUUUAUUGUACUCCAACCUCGGGCGGCCGAAAGCCACCGCCCCCAACCCAAACAAGAGCCGCCUUCCCGGCGACCCGCCUCCCGCCGAGGCCCGGACUCCGCACCCGGGAUUUGGCGUCCAAGGGGUGGCGGGAGCCCGCCGGGAGGGACGCGGCUGCGGCGCGGGCCAGCCAGGGGUCUGA